GACGAAGGUGGCUAGCGUUGUUCGGUGUCACUGGGCUUAAAGAGUAUGUAGGCGGAAAAGUAAGCGUCUUGUGAAAUCCCUCGGCUUAACCGAGGAAUUGCUCGACGAACUACUUUUCUUGAGGCAAGUAGGGGUGCAUAGAACUCUUGGUGGAGCGGUGGAAUGCGUAGAUAUCAAGAGGAAUGCCGAUGGAGAAAUCAGUGCACUGGGCUUGUUCUGACGCUGAGAUACGAAAGCGUGGGGAGCGAACGGGAUUAGAUACCCCGGUA
rnacentral:rRNA from 1 species